rnacentral:rRNA from 1 species
AUGAUUGGAAAGCCCAGACGAGAUGGGCCAAAAUGCGCCCAUAAACGAACAAAAGAUCCCAUUCCAUCCCGACAUUUGGCAUCACACUCAAAACCCUCGUCUUUGUGGGCUGUGGGCUGUGGCACCGCCCGACCGCCGGCUCCGAUCAUGGCCGGCGACGGCGACCUCGCCUCCCGAUGCCUCCGCCAGCAAGUCGCCCUCGCCUCCGACCACGACUUCGCGUUCCAACUCCAGCUCAACGAGGCCAUCCAAGCUUCCCUCCGCGUCCCAACUCCCAAUCGGCCCUCUUCCAGCGCCGCCGCCGCCGCCGCCACCGCACCCUGCUCUUGCCGCUUAUGUCAACCCGCCCCUGCGCUCUGGUCCUCCGAAGCUGCAUUCGCUGAAAUCGCGCGCCAAGAGAAGAACCGCCGCGACGCCCAUGCCUUCCGCGGCGCCCACGCCCAGGCAAACACCUCAGCCCGCGUUGUCUCCCGCGGCGCCCUCUUGGCGCGCGAGCUCGCCGACACUCCAGAUCGCCGACGGGCCCACGGCGGAGACCACUUCGAGCGACCUCUGGAUCCAAGCCGCACCCCUCUCUUCCGCGUCUUCUACAAGGGGUUGUCGAACAAGGAGGGCGCGGGGAGGUGGGGCGUCCCGGACCCCCGCGACGCGGUGCUCGCGGUGGCCGUGUACGAUCCCCGGGGGAAGGUGAUGCGCACCACACAGAAGCGCGUGGAAAGUUUUGAGGGCGGGCGCAUGGAGCUCGAGGUGCUGGCGCUCAUGGAAGGCAUCCACGCUGCGCUCGAGCUGGGGAUCCGAUGCGUCAACAUUGUCUCCGACUUCAAGGCGCUGCACAAAUAUGUAUGCCUUAAUGAAACCUCUAGAUCUGUGCAUAUGUCGUCUAUCUUAAUGCAUUAUUACUUCUUUCAAGCCCCCCUGCAGCAAGCCAUGUCUGCAGGUCGCUCUCAGCACACGGCUACCUCGAGCAUACGGCGUCGGCAGGAGGCCGAGCGCGCCGUGGCAGAGGAGCGUGAGCGAGCAGCUGUAGCAGCAGCUGCUGCGGCAGCAAGGGUGUCGAGGCUGGCUGCAGCAGAGCUGGCAACAGCCAGAGCGGAGGUAGAAGCAGCCAGGGCGGAGGUAGAAGCAGCAGCAGCAGCAGACGCAUCACGUGAGGCUACGGCGGAUGCCAAGGUACUCCGCGGCGGCUCCGGCAGCUCCAACAGCUCCGCGCCUGCGGACGCAGACCGCGCCAAAGUGGCGCAAGAGCGGACAGCGCAGUGGGCAGCCGAGCACGCCCGCGCUCCGGGUGGAGGUGCGCACCGCGACGGCGGCUGCAACGACCAGGACCGCGGCCUCUACGUGGUCCGGACUGUGGUCAGGCUCCAGGUGCGGCGCAUGUGGGAGGCAGUCCAGGACAACAACGUCGACCACCAAGAGGACCGACGGGCGCUGGACGCCCUCAUCGCCGCAGUCCCGCCCGAGAUGCAGUUCUCGCUUUCCAGCAAGCGGACUGCCAAGGAAGCUUGGGACGCCAUCGCCGCGGCACGCAUCGGCAGCGACCGUGCUCGCAAGUCCACUCUGCAGGCACUUCGUAAGGAGUGGGAGAGCCUGGCUUUCAAGCCAGGUGAGGACGUUGAUGACUUUGCUCUCCGUCUCAACACUCUGCUGCAGAAGUUGGUGAAGUUUGGUGAUGCCACCUACACCGAGGAGAGAGCUGUCGAGAAGCUUUUUCGGUGCAUCCCCGAGAAGUACAAGCAGAUGGCUCGGUCGAUCGAGUCUUUGCUGGACCUCUCCACGAUGACAAUCGAGGAGGCGAUAGGUCGCCUCAAGGUCGUCGACACCGACGAGCCACAGCCUUCCUCGGGGCCCAUCACCACCGGCGGGAAGCUGCUCCUAGCUCGGGAGCCGUGGGAUGCCAGCCUUGGUGACAGGAAGAAGGGGGAGCCUUCUUCCAUGACGGGCGGCCGCAAGCGUGGCAAGCAGCGUAAGACGCGAAGAGGCCCCCCGGGCAGGGCACAAGGACGUGCCGAAGGUGACGCCCGCGGAGGCGCCAAGGACGGCGCCGCUGGCAAGCCCAAGCCGGCACAAGACAACAGUUGCCACAACCGUGGCCGGUUUGGCCAUUGGGCCAAUAAGUGUCGGCAACCACGACAAGGCCAGGCUCACGUCGCACAGGCGAAGGAGGAAGAGACGGCUCUGUUCAUGGCUCAUGCAAGCAUUGAGCUAUCCUCAGCGACACCAGUCGCAAAAAGCUCUCAUCCACCUUGA